rnacentral:misc_RNA from 1 species
GCGCUCCACUGGCUAUGAUACCUUCCCUUGACCAGUCAACUGAAAAAAUUGUUCGAUCAUGAUAACCUGAUAGAGUGCAUACGUGACUCCAACUUGUGCGGUCAUCACCAGAUACCAUUCAACAUCUGUUUUCCAUAUCUUUAGAGUAAGAUCAUCACUACAGGUAACCAUUUUGUCUCCUUCAGCAUUAAAAGAAAGUGCCCAAACAGUAGAAGUGUGACCAUUGUUGGAUUCACUCAAGGUUUGAACACAGCACCAAUCACCAUCACCAUCCUCAGCCCAGACCUUAAUGGUGUUAUCAUAGCUACAAGAAAAUAAAAUGUCCAUAGUUGGAUGCCACUUAACCAUUUUAACAUCUUGUGUAUGUCCUUGCAGUACUGAAGCACACUCAAACUCAUUCCCUG